rnacentral:rRNA from 1 species
GAUGAACGCUGGCGGCGUGCCUAAUACAUGCAAGUCGAGCGAACAGACGAGGAGCUUGCUCCUCUGACGUUAGCGGCGGACGGGUGAGUAACACGUGGAUAACCUACCUAUAAGACUGGGAUAACUUCGGGAAACCGGAGCUAAUACCGGAUAAUAUAUUGAACCGCAUGGUUCAAUAGUGAAAGACGGUUUUGCUGUCACUUAUAGAUGGAUCCGCGCCGCAUUAGCUAGUUGGUAAGGUAACGGCUUACCAAGGCGACGAUGCGUAGCCGACCUGAGAGGGUGAUCGGCCACACUGGAACUGAGACACGGUCAAGACUCCUACGGGAGGCAGCAGUAGGGAAUCUUCCGCAAUGGGCGAAAGCCUGACGGAGCAACGCCGAGUGAGUGAUGAAGGUCUUCGGAUCGUAAAACUCUGUUAUUAGGGAAGAACAAAUGUGUAAGUAACUAUGCACGUCUUGACGGUACCUAAUCAGAAAGCCACGGCUAACUACGUG